rnacentral:rRNA from 1 species
GAUGAACGCUAGCUACAGGCUUAACACAUGCAAGUCGAGGGGCAACAUGAUCUUAGCUUGCUAAGAUUGAUGGCGACCGGCGCACGGGUGAGUAACGCGUAUCCAACCUUCCCCUUAGUAGGGCAUACGCCCGGCGAAAGUCGGAUUAAUACCCUAUGUUCUUCACAGCGGACAUCUAACGUGAAGCAAAGAUUCAUCGCUAAGGGAUGGGGAUGCGUCCGAUUAGGUAGUAGGCGGGGCAACGGCCCACCUAGCCGACGAUCGGUAGGGGUUCUGAGAGGAAGGUCCCCCACAUUGGUACUGAGACACGGACCAAACUCC